AUGACUGCUAUCAGACAUGGUCUCCUCAGCUUGUUGGUGUUUGUACUCUGGAUGAAAGGUCUGACUGAUGGAAGUGAUGUUAACCAGACCCCCAUACUGUGGGGGAAGAAGGGUGAAAAUGCAGCAAUACGAUGUGACCACACGAAGGGUGCUACUUACAUCGAGAUGUACUGGUAUCAACAGCUGCCAGGGGAGGGAAUGAAGGAAAUAGUUUUUACUUCAGUUAAUUCUCAACAUAAAUAUACAAACGGCUUCAGUGAGGAGAAAUUCCCAGCAGAGAAGAAAAAUGCUCAGACUGGAUCUCUGACAGUAAAGAAGCUGGAGCCUCAAGACAGCGGAGUGUAUUUCUGUUCUGUGGUGACCAAGUCCAGCAGACUCCUCCUGAAAUGUUCUGCAAAACUGAAGUAA